GGGUGUUGUCUGGCCGCCGCCGCCGCCACCGCGCAUCUCAGGUCUCCCGGCCGCAGACGCUGCCGCCUCGGGUGGUGGAGCCAGGAGCGACGUCCACCUCCAUGGCCGGCAUCAAAGCUUUGAUUAGUUUGUCCUUUGGGGGAGCAAUUGGGCUGAUGUUUUUGAUGCUUGGAUGUGCCCUUCCAAUAUACAACAAAUACUCGCCCCUCUUUGUUCUGUCUUUCUACGUCCUCUCACCUAUCCCGUACUGCAUAGCGAGAAGGUUAGUAGAUGACACAGAUGCUAUGAGCAACGCGUGUAAGGAACUCGCCAUAUUUCUUACAACAGGCAUCGUUGUCUCAGCUUUUGGACUCCCUAUUGUAUUUGCCAGAGCACAUCUGACUGAAUGGGGAGCUUGUGUGUUCUCACAGGAAACACAGUCAUCUUUGCAACCAUACUAGGCUUUUUCUUGGUCUUUGGAAGCAAUGACGACUUCAGCUGGCAGCAGUGGUGA